rnacentral:rRNA from 1 species
UACGUAGGGUGCGAGCGUUAAUCGGAAUUACUGGGCGUAAAGCGUGCGCAGGCGGUGAUGUAAGACUGAUGUGAAAUCCCCGGGCUUAACCUGGGAACUGCAUUGGUGACUGCAUUGCUGGAGUAUGGCAGAGGGGGGUGGAAUUCCACGUGUAGCAGUGAAAUGCGUAGAGAUGUGGAGGAACACCGAUGGCGAAGGCAGCCCCCUGGGCCAAUACUGACGCUCAUGCACGAAAGCGUGGGGAGCAAACAGG